rnacentral:rRNA from 1 species
AGAACGAACGCUGGCGGCGUGCCUAACACAUGCAAGUCGAGGGAGAAAAGGGGCUUCGGCUCCCGAGUAAACCGGCGCACGGGUGAGUAACACGUAGGUAACGUACCCUGGAGUCCGGGAUAACCAGUCGAAAGACUGGCUAAUACCGGAUACGACUGCGAGAUCUCCGGAUCUUGUAGUGAAAGAUGGCCUCUAUUUAUAAGCUAUCACUCCUGGAUCGGCCUGCGCACCAUUAGCUAGUUGGUGAGGUAACGGCUCACCAAGGCUGAGAUGGUUAGC